GGUUGUUUCCUCAGGGAGGGGGAUAGAGGUGGUUGGAUAUUUUGGCACACAGGAGAGCUGGCAGAGGAUGUCAGGGAAAGUCUUCUGUCAGCCUUUGUCAGUCCAUGUUGUGAUAUCCUUGUGCUGCCUUGGCAGAGUCCAGAGCCUGUGGAUGUGCCGACCUUGCAGCCAGAGCAUGGAUUGGUUAUUGCAGGAGAAGGGAGCUGGGUCUUGUUGCCACGAGUGGUUUUUCACAUAUAACUUGCAGUGGAUAAGUGGGGUGGGAGGGAGGUGGCAAACCUGAGUUGUACCCAGAAGGAUGGGGCACCUCUCCUACAAGGAAAGGCUGAGAGGAUUGGGGUUGUUCAGCCUGGAGGAGAGAAGGGCUUUGGGGUUGACCUGAUUUGUCCAGUACCUGAAGGGAUCCUAUAAGAAAGAUGGAGACUGUUCACAAGAGUAGGGAGUGACAGGACAAGGGGGAAUGGGAUCAAAAUGAAAGAGAGCAGGUUUAGAUGAGAUCUAUGGAAGAAGUUCUUCCUUCUGAGGGUGGGGAGGCUCUGGCACAGGUUGCCCAGAGAAGCUGUGUCUGCCCAUCCCUGGAAGUGUCCAAGGCCAGGUUGGAUGGGGCUUGGAGCAUCUUGGGAUAGUAGAAGGUGUCCCUGCCCAUGGCAGGGGGGUGGAACGAGUUGGAAUCUUUAAGGCCCCUUCCCAUCCAAACCAUUCUGUGAUUCCCUGAUGGAUUCUGUGAUUCCUGGGUUUCUACAUAGUUUUGAUAUGCUUAGAGAAGAAUAUUCUGCUUGUUGUGUUUCAAGGGGUGGUGUGGAAUGACACAGGGUUACUCAGGAUGUCUCUGUACACUUCAGAUAGUGCUGCAUCACUGAACAUCCCAGUGGGACGGGAUCAGGCUCAAAGCACAUCCCUUCCCACAGUGGGUUUGCCUGUUCCUCAGGAACAACCAGUUUAUUCCCCAAUUUCUUGUAUUUUUGUGCAAUUUUCACUAGAAAGAAACAAAACAUUCCUGUUUAACUUUUGCCCCCCUGAAAACUGCAGGAGAGGAAAGAAGACUAUUCUCUCAUGGCAGAGAAACAUGACAGAGGUGUCCUCUUGGACCACGUGAGCUUUAAAGAAACCAGCAGUGCAGGAGGAGGAUGGAGGCCAGGAGGAGUGUGAAGGAGGAGGUGGGAUCUUCAGUGCUCCCUUCACAGAUCCCAAGGAUGCCCCAGUUUGGUGCAGAAAGUGAAGCAGGGAGUUGAUUUGCUGUUUUACACAGAUCUGAACAGCUUCUGAGCUGCUUAAAAUAAGCACUUGGAAGGUAUCACGUUCCUGGGGAGGUAAAUGGUGAAGGAAUCACAAGUUGGAGUGUGGGGAGGGGUGUGUGACAGAGCUAAGCCCAGGAUUUGGGGCAGAGGGGGAGCUGGAGUGGGAAGAUCCAGGCUGUGUUUGUACUGUGGCAGAGUGACCAGAAGAGGAGGGUGUUGCGGUCAAGUGAAAUAAAAGGAUGUAUGAAGUGAAACGAACCCAGCACCCGGUGAGAGCUUUGUCACUGCUGUCACAGUGUCACCUGCUGUCACAGGAGCUUUAGGACACAGCUUCCAGCACAAGGAGAGAAGUGAGGCUGCUCCUUGCCAGUUGGAUUUAGUUUUCCUCAAAUAUCUGCAGAACAGGGUGACUAAGAAGAAAUAGUGGUUGUGUUUAUGCUGCUGCUUUAAAAAACUUUGGAGCAAACCCGAUUGGUGUUUUCUAGUGAUCUUUAGCUUGUUGUCUUGAUGUCCUGAAUCAUGAAAUCAACACAGCUUAAUCAUGAAAAAGCAUAGCAUGAAGCACUGGAUAAUUAGUCUCUUUUGAAUGUUAGAUUCAGAUUGGAUAUUAGGAAGAAAUGCUUCCCCAUGAGGGUGGGGAGGCCCUGGCACAGGUUGCCCAGAGAAGCUGUGGCUGCCCCAUCCCUGGAAGUGUCCAUGGCCAGUUUGGAUGGGGUUUGGACAACCUGGGAUAGUGGAAGGUGUCCCUGCCCAUUGCAGGUGUUGGACCAAAAUGAUCCUUAAGGUCCCUUCUAACCCCAGCCAUUCCAUGAUUCUGUGUUUCUAUGAAAUUAUUUGAUAAUUAUUGUGGUGUUUGAUGUGUUCAGGAGACACAGAGCCUGUCCCUGGAGUAACUUCUGGAUUUGACCCACUUCAACCAGAUUUUUUCAGUGUAGAUUUUACAGAUAACAAAUAUUUGCAGAGUCCAUGAAAAGCAGAGGGAAGAGAAAAACCUGUUCCAGUCCCCACGGAGUAAAAGCUGCCACGUUGUGUCAGGGAGUCCACAAGUGAGUUCACCAGGAGACACCAAUUAUUCCAGCUGACAAGGUGGUGAUUGUUCAAAGGUUGGACUGGGUGAUCUUGGAGGUCUUUUCCAACCUAAAUGACUCUGUGAUUAUUUCUCACUGAGCUCCAUCACCCCUCUACUCACAGGUCUGGCCAUCCCUGAGGACAUUCCUCUUUUCCAACUAAGUCUUUGGCAGAACCGAUGCCAUAAUCUGAGUCCAGGGCUCUGGUUUUCCUCCUGCAGCUGCUGAUCCCAGCUCAGAUGGCACUGUGGGAUGGGGUGGGAUGGAUCUCCACGUGUUCCAUGGAUCUCUGGGAGCUCCCUGUGUCUGCUGGUUACAGAGAUUUUGUGCGAUAGUGUUGGUUUAACUCAGUGGGAGGUUAUUUGAGAAGGAAAUGAAAGGCUCAGUGAACAGUGAAUGCUUGAAGAGGUGUUAAGAGGAAAUUCCAGGCGUCUGAGCUUUUGUUUUAAGGGUUUGGGGUUUUUUUUUUGCUGUCUUUUCAGCCAGGUGGGUUUUGAGCAGUUCUGUGUCAGUGCUCUGUGACAGGAUGUUGGGGACAACUUCUUCUCAGGCAGAAAUAAGUGGGAAGCCUGAUCCUCUCAGGUGAAAAAACAAGAGGUUUUGUCCCUUUAGAUACUGUUUUUGUGUCUUUCACUCUAUUUAUAUUGAUUAACCUGAACACUGGAAUUUAUUUUCCUAGGAAGGAGUAUUUAUAUGGGGAAAAAAAUUAGAUUGUAUUAAUGAGUGAGUCUGAAGCAGUGCAGGAAAAGAGGACAAGAUGGGCUGUGCUAAAAGGCAGACUUUCCUCACUGUUAGAAACGAUCAUGUCAGUUUUAUAUCAGAAGCCUGAUAGCAGUGAGGUGAUGAGAGGGAGAUUUGAUUACUGAAACAAAUGGAAUUUCCACAGCAUUAUCUGCCCCAAACUUCAUUCCGAAGUAGUGGAAUUCUUAUCAGACAACUGUGGUUUUCCCCAUUUUCCUAUAGACACACAGACUUAGUACUGUCUAGGCCGAGGAGGGGCAAUAAUGUCUCACCUACUGUAAUUUCUGUCCAAGUUACAACAGAACAUCUGCUUCCAGCACCCUUAAUAAUUCUGGCUGCUGGUUUUUUGCAUACUUGGGAUCAAUGUACUGGGAGUAGUGUGAGACUGGAGAGCUCCACUUUGCUUUAAAAGAUUUGAAAACUGAUCCACAGCACGUUGUGACAGAGGCUGAAAGUGGAAGGCUUUGUUGGAGGAGGUGUUAAGACUAAGUGUUGACAUCUUCCCCCAGAUUUUAUGCGGUUCAAAAACGAUCCCUUCUUAAUUAUCCCUUUGGUUUAUUCAUCUUUCCUGAAGUUUUUUUCCCCAUUAGUGAAAGGUGGCUGCACGUGCUUGUCUCCUGUUCUGAGCAGGGUGCUGUGUUGCUCUUACAUCCUUCUGCAUCCCCCUGCACAUCACCCUCCAGUUCUUGAGCAUUCCCUGUUAACAUUCCUGCCUGGGAAGGUGUGGGUUUGGACAGUUAAUAUCAUACCUGAAGUGUACUGUGAGAUGAGGUGGUUUAUAAAAAGGAGGAUAAAAGUCUCAUUUCAUGAAAAUGAAUCUUGUGAAACCGCACCUGUAACCUCUGAAGUGACCAAGAGUCCUCCUGGAGAGGUGGAUUCUGUGCAGUGGCACUGCCGAGAGACAGAAGGGAGUCCCUCUCCUGGCUCCAGGAUGUUAAAACUCAUCCCCUGAUCUUGGCACCAUCUCAGAGAUGAUGUGAUGGGUCAAGAGCUGGCACAUAAUUUUGAAGCCCACAGUUGUACCGGGUUUAACACAGGUUUGGUUCGCCAGGGACAGAACUGAUGCACUGGGAUGGACCCUGAGGGUGGACAUUGGUCCAGCAUCUGAGGCAGUCCCUCAAGUGGUGACAUAAAACCCCAGGGAAGCAGCCAGACCACCCCCAAAGGAGAAAGCAGGCCCUGGUUCAGCUCUUUCAGUGCUCUUGAUGCUGCAGAUGGUCUGCAGGGUGGUUUUGACAGAGCCAGGUUUGGCACAGGAGCAGAAUCACCUCGUUCCACCCUUCCUGUGAGGAGCAGCUGAGGGAGCUGGGGGGGCUCAGCCUGGAGAAAAGGAGGCUCAGGGGGGAUCUUCUGGCUCUGCAACUCCUUGACAGGAGGGGGGCUGUUGUGUAGUGUCUGCUGUUACUCUGGGAUGGGGGGAUUUACAGCUGAGGGGAUUUUUGUCCUGCAUUUCUUCCCAGGAGAAAAAAACAAAAAAAAACAAGCAAAGCAACUCUGUGCUGGUGAGAAUAGGAACUUGCUCAUUGACAGCUUCAUUUAGUGUUUAUAAACAUCAGGGGUCACAGGAAUGUUGUAACUUCAGGUUAGUGAUUUUUAUUUUUAUAAAAAAAACCCUCCAGUUGAGGCACUUUGAGGCUUCUGAAACAGCCAAGCAAACAUUUGUAAGUUUGUAGGAAAUCUGUGUCACGCUUCUCAAGUUUAUAGCUGGGGGUGGGAGGAGAAGUGUCAACUUAUCUCCAGGAACUAAAACAUCCUGAUUGUAUCACAUGGAAUCAGCCUCCAAAACUCAUUCCUGCACUGAGAAACCCAGUCAAAUAAAAUUGGUCACUUUUGAAGAAGGACUUUGAAGCUUUGUGACCACUGGCAUCUGUGUCAAGCCAGGGUUAUUUACAGGCUGCUGUGAAGGGUCUUAACUAACCACUGGCAGCACUGUCCAGUUUUUCAUGCUUGGAGAGAAGAACUAUCAAAGCCUUGAGUUUUGAGCGGGGUUGAAGAGGUUUUUCGCUCGGAGGCGUCGUGUUACGAUCUCUGCUAGAGGCACAACAGAGCAGUGGGGUUCAUUUUGCUUCCAAUAUGCAAAAAAAAGGAAUGCUCAGGAGGUGGAAGCAGAUUCUGGAGGUUAGAAACACCAUCCAGGCCUGUUGGGUUUGUGUUGGGAAAGCCAGAGCUCACCUAGAGCUCGUGGUCUCAAGGGGAUGUGAAGGACAGCAAGAUGCGUUUAAAAGUUGUGUAGAUGUGGCACCUGGGACGUGGUUUAGUGCUGGGCUUGGCAGUGCUGGUUAAAUGGUUGGACUUGAUGAUCUUAGAGGACUUUUCCAACCUAAAUGAUUCCAUGAACACCUACUCCUGUGCUUUGGCCUCUGUGAUUAUUGAAGGUGUUUGAGACGCAGAGGAACAUCAUCAGCAGCAAAGAGUUGAGUCAGGGAGUACUGGGAAGUCCGUGAGACCUGGUGGAUUCCAUCUGCAGGUGCUGAGAGGUGGCUGAUGUUAAAGCAAGGCCGCUCUGAAAAUCCAUGGAAAUUGGAGGAGGCCCUCAGAGAUGGGAGAAAGGCAAAUAUUGCACCCAUAUUCCUCAGUCCACAAGGGUAAUCCAAGGAGCUACAGGGCAGUCAGCUCUGUUUGGACCCCUGGGAACAAAUUUCUUGGAACAAUUUUCUAGGCAUGUGCAUGGAAAGAAAGAGCUUGGGAAGAGUCAGCAUGGAUUGACCAUGAGGAAAUCGUGCCUGACCAACCUGAUGGUCUUGUAGGUUCAAGUGACUGGAUGUGUGGGUGAGGGGAGGACAGUGGGUGGCAGCAGCAACAACCUGGGCUGGUGGAAGGUGUCCCUGCCCAUGGAACAGGGUGAGAGCUUUAAGGUCCUGUCAAACCCAAACCAUUCUGGGAUUCUGUUCUGUGAUUUACCUUGGCUGUAGCUUUCCAAACUGUCUCCCACUGUAUCUAAGAUGGGAUGUUACAGCCAGAGCUGGAGAACCAUUUUCCAGGAAGGAAUUGUUCCUGAUUUCCAUUCUAAACCUCUCCUGGCACAACUUAAGGCUGUUUCCUCUCAUCCUGUCCCUUGUUCCCUGGGAGCAGAGCCCAACCUCCCCCUCUGGCCCCACCCUCCUGUCAGGGAGUUGCAGAGAUGGAGAAGGUCCCCCCUUUUCUCCAGGCUGAGCUCCCCCAGCUCCCUCAGCUGCUCCUGGUGCUCCAAACUCUUCCCCAGCUCCGUUCCCUUCCCUGGACAAGUGAAUCCACCAACAUCCCAGGCUCUUUAGGCAGCAGCACAACCUGUAGGCAGAGGGAAGUGACUUGACCCCCUUUGCUUGGGAUCCACAAAAUCCUUCGUCCAGUUUUGUGCCCUUCAAGACAAACUUCACCAAUGCAGAGGGAGCUCAUCAACAGAUUGCCAGUGUCGGGUUUUUUUUGGUGGGGGGGCAAAAAGCAUUUCCCUGUAAUCUGUAUGUGCGUGUUCCACAAGAUCUUGGAUGCUGUGAUCAAAAAUAGGGUGGGUGAAGUGGCUCAGCCUCCCUGUAUCAUGUCAUGAGUGCUGGGUGCGUGUGCAGGAGGCAAAGCCAGACUAAGAGCUGAGCAAAUCGACAACUUGCCCUUCCCAGAGCCAUCCGAGGGGUUUUUUCACUGCUGAGCUGAGGCUGAGAACAAGGAGCAUGUGUUCUCCCUGAGCAGGGCUGGGGCUGUUGGCAAAACUGUUACAAAACAUGUAACAAAACUACGGAGUGGGUUGAACUUCCCAGGUUUUACAUUUGUAGGAAGAGGCAGUCGAGAUUUCCCCCCCUCAACCAGCAACAGAUUGCAGCGAAUCCGAAUUAUGUGGCUGCCAUCUGCUUCCAAACAGGCUUGGAAAACACGGGCCAGCCCUCCCCAGCAUGGGUGAGGAGGGUGGUGGGGAGUGUUUACAAGUCUGUGUUUACGGGAUUUGGGAUUAAUGUGCUGCUUCCUUAUUUUUAGACAGAGCAAAACUGAAUUAAAGCUGUGAGUGAAACACUCAGUGCCCCCAGCUCUCAGCAUCGCAGUGUAAUUUAAAAAAAUGAGCUUUUAAAAUCUUUCUGUACCAAAACACUGUGACACCACCCCACCCAGUGUGGUAGGAUCAUCCUGGAAUGUGUAUUUUGACAUUUUUUGUUCUUUCAGUCCACUAUAACAGGCUUAGAUGCCACAUUCUGGAGUCCCAGUGGUGUAGCAGAACCCUCAAAAAAAGAAAAAAAAAGAAUUAUAGAAUCAUAGAAUGUUAAGAAGUUGGAAGAUCAUCCAGUCCCAACCCCCUCUGCCUUGAGUGGAGACACCUCCCACUAAACCAGGUUGCUCAAAGGCUUUAUCCAACCUGGCUUUGGACACUUCCUGAGUUGGGGCAUCUACAACCUUCCUGGACAACUUGUGCCAGUGUCUCACCACCCUCACAGAAUAAGGUAGAGAUUAUUAGUAGAGAAUAAGGUUUUAUGGACUGUAAGGCUGGAAAACUGUGACUUCUGGAGUAGGAUGUCCGUGUCACCCUCCCUGGAAGUGUUCAAGAAACACUUGGAUGUGGCACUUGAGGACAUGUUUUAGUGGUGAACACGGUGUUGAUGCUGGGUCAGCAGUUGGACUUGGGGAUCUUGGAGGUCUUUCCCAAGCUGGUUCUGUGAUUCCCUGAUUCUGUGACUUAGAUGUGAGACAUUCCAGAGGUAAUAAAUCACAGAGUGGUUUGAACUUGCCCCGCUGCUGUCGGGUCAUGUGGCGUGUGAGCUGCACAGGUACAUCUUCUAUUUUUAUUUUUAUGUGUUUAAAAAAUAUAACAACGUGAAAAAGCUGAUAUUAACGCUAAGUUAAGGUCAGCCAGGUUCUGGAGUGAGCACCUUUGGGAAGACAUCAGAGCAAGGUCCUUGUGCCAGGCUUUUCCUUCUGCUCCGACCUCCUGCAUCCCUGCCAGCCCAUCGUUGUUCAGGGCCUUUGGGGUGACACCAUCCCACAAGGGGUGAAUUGUCAGGUGGUGACCCUGGUCAGUGCAGACUGGAGGUGUCACUCAGUCUGCAGAGUUGCCCUGGGAAGCCAAAGGAAUAACGGGCCUGAAGUCAAGUGUUGUGACCCGUGAUGGAUAAGGAUACUCCAGGAAGGAGCAGAGUUCCUCGCCUGGUUAUUCCACUUGACUUGGCUGAUUUAACUGAUUUCACCUGAUUUCACACAGAGGGACUUGGCUUAAGCUUUUCUCAGCUGUGUGGAUGAAUCCAAGAGCUUCCCAGCAGCAGGUGGGCCGGGAGAGAGAUUUUUAUCCCAGUGAAGGUGCAGACACAGUAAAGGGAAUUUUUGGAUGGUUCGUUUAUUGGGCAUUUCCGUGUUUUCCGUGCCUGGUUUUUAGCAUCUCCAGCUCCCAGGUGCUGCUCAAAGGAGAGCUGAGCAAUUCCAGCACACACAGAAAGCAGCACUUGCACAAGGCACGAGGCAACAAAACAUCUGCACUCCGUGUUUCCUCUAGUUCUUAACUGGAAAUCUUCAGCUGGAUCAGCCUUUUCACUCCAGCUCAUUCAGGCUGCUGUUAGAGGAGGUGUGGGUGUAAUUUAUGCUCACAUUUACACUGCUGGGGUGGUUUAAAGUGGGAAGUGAGAAUCAGCCCUUCAGUUUUUCGUGGUUUCUUUGUGUUCUAACAACAGAUGCACAGCUGGAUGCAGUAGCCUUUAACCAAGCCCUGGAGCAUCUCCUCAUUACUCUUAAUUCACAGCAGUGCCCGCGAGGCCUGUUGCGAAUAAGUCACCGGAGGAUAAAGAACGGCAGAGCUCUCAGAGCUGCUUUGUUCUUUUAUUUGAUAAUUACAGUUUUGUAUUUCAUUAUUUAAGCUGGUUUAGUCUGUGUUGUGUCAUCCCGGGUGUGUGCACUGCUAUGGAUGGGACAGCUCAGGUGGGGAGUGAGGGAUUUCUGGAUUCCUGCUCGGAGCACACUCGGAUUUACUGAUUUACUUGUGUGACCUUUGGACACGGAAGGGGGUUGAUAAAUCUCUGCUGACAAGCGAGGAGGCAACACCACUUCAGGAGGCAUCACCACUUGGAAUUUGCAAAUGCAAACGAGCAGCAAUUAGGGAAGAGUGACUUUGUAUGUUCCAGCUCUGGGAAUUUAUCUAAGGCAAGAUGCAUUUGGUGCGAGGUGUUGACGAGGAACGGUGUGUUUUUGCCAGGUUCCUGAAAAGCUCUUUUUAAUAAAUUGCUGAUCUUUGGAGACCUGUAAAAAAUACCAUGGAUUGCUUUUUAUCAGCCUAUAAUGUGCUUUCAUCACUCCAGAGAAGUAUGUGAGAGUGAUACCCGGUUGGUCCCUGGAGGAAGCAGAGGAUACACUGCUAAAGGCUCCGGAUUUCUGGCACUGGAAUGGAGCUUAAAUUUCCUCGUUAGCACAAAUAUCCCUCUAAACUGAUCACCAAAGUGCUGCUGCUCCUUUCUCGCACACAGAAUUACUCUGCUGUAAUGCUACAAGUAAUUUAACUCAGUAAUACUGAGUCAAAAACAACUCCUGUCUGAAAUGUUAUGAUUUAUUGCUUCUCGAGGCUCUUAAGAUGGAAAUGGCUUUCCAGGCUCGAAGCUGUAAAACAUCUCAAUAUUAUACUCUGCAUUUACUGAGAGGCAAAAUCUCUGUGGUGUUGAUGGUACUGGGAUAAUAAAGAUGAGAUCCUGAAUGGCCAUUUUUGCAAAUGUUUUCUGAGAACAACAUCAAAAAAGUAAUCAGGUGUUAAAGUGUUGUAACCCUGCUGUGUUUCUUAGAAUCACAGAAUGGUUUGGGUUGGAAGGGACCUUAAAGUUCAUCCCAUUCCAACCCCCUGCCAUGGGCAGGGACACCUUCCACUGGACCAGGUUGCUGCAAGCUCCUUCCAUCCUGGCCUUGGACACUCCCAGGAAUAGGGAGUCCACAACCUCACUGGGCAACCUAACUCUGGGAAAACCUCUGAAGCAGUUUUUUCAGGAAUUUGCAUUUUCAAACUCUCACCUCCUCACUUCUCAAAUCCUGUGCAAAAUGCACCGGUGCUUAAAAAAAAAAAAUUAGACAGUGAUUUCUUGGUUUAAUCUACCAUUUGAAAAAAAAUGGUAACACUGGAGUUCUUAAAUUGUUCCUCUGCUUUCAUUAGCUGUGAUGAAAUGCAGUUUGUAUGUGAUGUGUAAGCCUGUGAAAUACACACUUGGGCAAUGAGGGAAUGAAGGUCACACAACUGUCAUUGGAUCCCUGCCAGCGAGAGUAUUGAAAUUACAGGAAUGCUGGAUGCAUUGUUGGUGGCACAUGGGCAGAUACUCUCUCUGCUCCAGAGCAGGAGGGAUGCAGCCUGUGCUUUUGCAUUUCCCCUUCCCACUGACACACUCCAGCCCUGUUCCAGAUGUGCAUCAUUACCUCGUUCUGGUCCAGCGUUGUCCAUCUGAGUGUGUUGUUUCCAGAGACUUUUUUAAUGGUUGCAUCCAGUUCCUGUGACAACUCCCAGGAUCAUGGAAUGCUUUAGUUGGGAGGGCACCGUAAAUAUCUUCUAGUUCCAACCCCCUGCCAUGGGCAGGGACACCUUCCACUAGCCCAGGUUCCUCCAAGCCCCAUCCAUCCUGGCUUUGGACACUUCCAGGGAUGGAGCAGCCACAGAUCCUGUGGGCAGCCUGUGCCAGGGCCUCACAGUGAAGGAUUUCUUCCUAAUACCCAUCUAACCCUACCCUCUGUCAUUUUGAUACCAUUCCCCCUUGUCCUGUCCUUCCAGGCCUGUGUGAAAAAAACACCUAGCAGUGUUUUUACAGGUUGGGAUCUACCAGGAUCUCCAGUGGGGGUUCCAUCUGAGCUCUAAGCAGGGCUGUGUAUUCCUCAGCUCCUGGAGCCUCUCUGGGUUUGGCUCACAGCUGGCUAAGCGACUGCUGCUGGUUUAGAGGCGGCAUUUUGUCCUGUAACCAGCAGACACAUCCUCUUCUUCCUUCUCCCCAGGUCAGAGCUGGUUUUUGACAGCUCCCAUGGAGCAACUGGAGUCCCUCUGUCUUGCUCUUCUCUGUACAGGAAGGUCCAUUGCAACCAUCCAUGUGCCAGCAAACCCCAUGCCUUGCCAGCCAACUCCGGGGCUCGCCAAUGUGCACCUGCCUUUUUAUUUAGUGUUUUAGCUUCUGUGGCCCAGUGGAGCUGAACUGGUGUUUGCCUCCAAGGCCAGUUUGUUCUCCUUCUCCUUCCAGUCACUAGUUAACCGGCUUUAAAAACUGCUGACAGUUGUUUUAAGAGCUGGUUUUCGGGUCGGGCUUUUUGUAACUCUGCAGCAGGAGGAAGAUAUUGUUAGAAACCAGGGGAAUGGAAGGGCUGCUGUUGCUCCAGGCAGGAGGAGAGGGUGCUUCACUGCUGGAGAAUAACACUUGCACUUUGAAGUGCUUCUCCUGCCCCUCCUGUGAAGGCACUCAAAGCCCCUUUGGCAGCGCUCCAGCUGCCAGGGUGAGGUGUGUUAUUGGGAGCAGGGCAGGAAAACAGGAGGUUUGUAACAGAGGUCGUAAAAUCAUUGAUCAGAAGGGUUUGGUUUGGAAGUGACCUUAAAUCUCAUUUCAUUCCAACUGCCCUGCCAUGGGCAGGGACACCUCCCACUAUCCCAGGUUGCUCCAAGACCCCGUCCAACCUGGUCUUGGACACUUCCAGGGAUCCAGGAGCAGCCACAGCUUCUCUGGGCAACCUGUGCCAGGGCCUCACUCACCCUCACAGCCAACAAUUCCUUCCCAAUAUCCCAUCUAAUCCCUGUCAGUGUGAAGCCAUUCCCCCUUGUCCUGUCCCUCCAUCCCCCUUGCCCCCAGUCCCUCUCCAGCUCCAGCUCUCCUGGAGCCCCUUUAGGCACUGGAAGGGGCUCUGAGGUCUCCCUGGAUCCUUCUGUUCUCCAGGUGAACCCCCCCAGCUCUCCCAGCCUGGCUCCAGCAGCCCUCUGAAGUGACUUGUUUAAAUAGUCACUUAGAAACCCAGUGUGCUGGGGGAGAUAAAGAAUGGCAGAACUUUUGGCAGCUACUUUGGGAAAAUAGCAGGGGGAUUAUAGAGGGAGUAUUCCCCCAUGGAACGUGCUGCAGCAGGGAUGUAUUUUUUCCCACCGAGGUGUAAAAGCAGGAGGUGUGUGAGCGCUGAUUGCUGAGGGGAGCGAGUUUCAAACACUCCCCUAAUUUAGCACCUCCUGAAAUAGCUCCGAGCCCGUUAAAUGAACGACAUUGCUGAGAGUCUUUCUGUCUGAGCACACAGGGAAGGCAGUGGGUUCUCCUGUUCGAGGGGAGGCUGAAGAGCCUGAACAAAGGAGAGCAGUUACGUGCUCAGCAGCGAACAAAAACACCUCCCAGGCCACAAGGAGUAGCAGUGAAUGGUGUGCUGGGAAAAGAGGGCAAGUGCUCCUGCUUUGUGGUCCCCAACCCUGUCCUCACGAGGUCGUGUCAGGCAAAAGCUGCUGGUGCAUAGAGGCAGCUCAGGUGCAGCAUUUCAGAAGGGCACAGAGUGAAAAAUGAGCGAGAGGAAGGAUUAACUCGGCUCUGCCUGGCAAGCAGGACCAGAGCCCUCACCGGGGGAGCACAGAGGAAGGCUGGGUUUAAAUUUUAGCAACCACAGAAAGGUGAAGCAGCAUCCGGCUUGUCUUUUUGGCACUUUCAGGUCAAACAAAGCAUGCCUUGAGUGUGGCCUCGCUGCUUAUCCCACAUCACACAGGCUCUGUGCGUGUUCUGGUGGGAUCUUUCACUGCAUCCCGUGCAAAACUUGGGUGAAUAUUCCGAGAUCCUGGACCGCUUCCAUCCCUUGGCAUCGUAACAUUUCAGCAAGCACCAAUUUUCUUGGUUUCUUCCCCCGUGUAAUUGGAGAGUCGAAAUCUGUGAUGAAUAUAUUAACGUUCAUUGAAUUACAGAGCAGACACUUAGCAUUUUUCCUGAAGGAUCCUAAAAUGCUUUACAGGCACUUGAAUGUAUCACCACCCAAUUGCAGCCUCUUUUCGUGCUUAGAUUUAAUUCAAGAUGGAGGGAGAGAAUUGGGUUUGUUGUGCCACAGAACCCCAGAAUGGUUUGGGUUGGAAGGGACCUUAAAGCUCAUCUCAUUCCAACCCCCUGCUGUGGGCAGGGAACUUUCUACUAGACCAGGUUGCUCCAAGCCUCAUCCAGCAUGGCCUUGAACACUUCCAGGGAUAUCCCAAAGUUUCCUUACAGGAGGACAGAUCAUGAGUUUUAUACCCAGGAGUUUUAUAAUACUCAUUAUUGGGUGGUUACAAGUACACUCCAUCCCCCUCUUACACUACUGGUGGCCUCAGGCUGAGAGGUGACACCUCAUGUGGUUUGUUUUAUCCGUGAUCCAGCUGCUUCAUUGGGAUUUGGAGGUGCAAGAUAAGGUCCAUGGCUCUUUAUGAACCAGCUGGAUGCCCCACCAUGUGUUGCUGGGAGUUUCCAUCUUCCUUUUCCCCUGAAAUGAAAAACCCUCCAAAUAUUCAGAGUGAAAGCCAGUAAAUUAUUCACCUAUUCUUAGGCUGGUUAAGGCUCUGGAAUUGGGUGUAGGCACUUCUCCCACUCUCCCAGCACUGUCUCACUCCUGAGCCAAGAUUCAUUUCCACAGGCAAGUGCUCCACUGUCUUUCCUCACGGAUAUCAGGUGUGUGAAGAGUCCCUGUAGCUCAUCCCUCCUGGAAAGCAGCUCCUCCUUUCCUUCAACAACUCCCAGGGAUGGCUCUGCUCACUGAUGCUCCUGUUGCUCCAGCCCUGAGCAAGGAUUGUUAAUCAAAGCCACAACCAGCCUCUUGCAGGUCUUUUGUUUCCCAGAGUGGUGUUCUGUGGUUUCCUCUUCCUCUGAUUUUUUAUCCCUGUUUCCAUUUGAAGGCUCCUGCUCCAUCUUCCCCUUUCUUUAAGGUAUAUUUGUGCAUUUUUUCCCCUCUUUUAAUCAAAACAAUCUCUAGCCCCUGCCAGGGUCAGGAUUUCUCUGGGUGUUUUCAAAUGCACAGUGAGACAGAUUUGGUCCUAAAGAGAGCUGACUUGUAAUUUGCACUCAGUGGAAGCCCUUGAAAUGCAAAAGCUGCCUGCAGUGUUUGUAUUGGAUGUUAAAUAUCCUGGAUACCAGGCUGGAAAAGGUGAAACACCACUUUUAGAGAGCUGGAACAGCUGAAAUUCCUCCCUGAGUCUCCAGAUGUGGCAGUGUCUGAAGAGCCUGGCACAGGUUGCCCAGAGAAGCUGUGGCUGCCCCAUCCCUGCAAGUGUCCAAGGUCAGGUUGGACAGGGCUUGGAGCAGCCUGGGACAGUGGAAGGUGUCCCUGCCCAUGGCAGGGGUGUGGAACUGGAUGAUCUUUCAGGUUCCUUCCAACACAAACUGUUCUGUGGUUCUCUGGUCGGUGGCAGAGUGAACUCCUGACUGCAAUUAAAGGUGGGUGAUACUUCAAAAUAACCUGAAGCAGAAGGACAGGAUUCAAGUUUGUGGUGCCCCAGGAGGUUUGAGAUAACCCUUAAGUUUCCUGGUGGAUACCAUGACUCCUGUAUCCCCAGUGGAAUCACUACAGAGCUGUCAAGGAAAGAGGAGGGCAGGAAGGAGCUGGAGGAUGAUGCUCCAGCAUCUUGGAGAUGCUCCACCUCCGGAGGAGCCAUCAGGCAAACAAUUAACUCAUUGUUAGUAUCAAAUUUCACUUGUUUUGCAGGAUGCUGCACUUAGGGAGAGCUGCCAUUGAGCAAUUCCAGUUUUCUUCCCAGCUCCCAAAUCUUGUAAACACUGUCACUACAAAAGGCAGAGCCAUUGAAAGGAUUCCUCCUAAAGUCACCAUGUGGGAGUUAAUUGACAUUUAAGGUUUGGGUUCGUCUCAUUUGGGCUGAUCUUGUGCAAGUGGGAGGUGGGGGGUCAGACCCUGCUGGGGUGGUGCUGAUUUAUCUCCUGAGAGCAGAAAUGCUCCUUAAAUGUGAUGCACCUGGGACGUGGUGACUUCCAAGAGGGGUUUAAGCAUUCACAGCCCUCACUGAGAUUUUUCUGGGGACUGUUUGGAUACUUUCACGUAUCCAAAGAGCACUGUAAAUAUUAACAUCCAGUUCCAACACCUUAAGGGAGCGUUGCUUUGAGGCAGGAAUUUGUGUGUUGGGAGACAGAUGGGUGAACUGCUGAAGAUAAUCAGGGGUCAGCUGGUUAAGCCUUAUUUUUUGCACAGCCUUGUUGGGGUUACAGAGUGCUCUCCUAAAGAGUAUUUACUGCAUAAUCUGGGGAGAUGAGUGUAAGGGAGCCUUUGAAGGAAUUAGGGAAAUUCAGCUGAGACUACUUUGCAUUCAGGCAGGAGAGAGCCGUAGAGGAACCUGAACAUGAAGAGAUCCUCUUCUGCUCCCCCAGCAACGUCGACCCUAAAGACACAUUAAAAACUCCUUUUCCACGUGCCAGGCUGAUCUGUGACUUCACUGUGGCCUGACAAAGUGGAGCUGCUGCGAAAUGAGCCCCAGCUUUUGGGAGUGGGGGGGAGUUAAGAUCACUGUUUUUUCCAGAGGAGUGAUACAAAAAUGCUGCCACUCCUCAUUUUUUUGAAGGGGAAAAAAAAUCCACGUGUCACAGCCUUGUGGGAACUGAUGUGGUGUCAGAGUGAGCUGGGCAGGGAUGAGUUUCCUCACAGUAAGAAUCUGCAUCAAAAAGUGAAAUGAUGGAAGCUGGAGAAGUCAGGCUGGAAAAAUAGCUCUUUGUUGGUAGCGUUCCCCCGGCUAAUGCCGGGAUCGUGAUCCUCGGAAUGUGGAGUGCAGUGUCCCAGCAGGGCAGCACUUCCAGUCUGUCUGCCUGGAAAACCCUGUGGCAUCUGCAGCAGAGCCACAGAGGUGCUGAUUUGCUCCUCGCCUCUGCUGGGGACGAGCAAAUGGCACAUUAAUAAGGCCUUGGAGGAGUAGUUUGUGCUCUGGAGGGCUGCACUGAGGAAAAUAUUCCCUUAGGGAAAGGUUUCAGGGUGUUUAGGUGUCAGAUCAGGCUUAGGAGGGAGGAGUAACUUCAGCAGCAUGAACCAUCCUGAUCCUGGCAUAGCUGUGUGGAGCUGUACAAGGGGAGGAAUCAUCUCCUGAAGAAAGCAAAUGACAGGAAGGAUUUAACUUUGUUUUCCUAGAAGUGGUGCUGUCAGAGGAGCUGGGAUGCAGGAAGAGAUGUCCGGAACAGACCCGAUGGCUCAGGGUGGAGCUGCACAGUUGUCCCCAUCCCUGGAUUCAGAACAAAUCUGACAGUCCUGCUGCCACUUAUUUUCCCAUAAAAAUGGAGUCAUGUCCAUGAAGACAGGCUGGGAGAGCUGGGGGUGUCCAACCUGGAGAAGAGAAGGCUCCAGGGAGAUGUCAGAGCCCCUUCCAGUUCCUAAAGGGGCUCCAGGAGAGCUGGAGAGGGAUUUUGGACAAGGGCUUGGAGGGACAAGACACAGGGAAUGGCUUCCCACUGCCAGAGGGCAGGGUUAGAUGGAAUAUUGGGAAGGAAUUCAUGACAUAAUAACUGAUGUGUUGGUGGCAUUCCUGGACAUGUUUGCAGAGGAUCCCUGUUUUAAUUGGAUACCCAGAAAUAGGUGUGUUUCCCUGGAUGUUCUUGGGACAGAUCUCCUUAUUCUGAAUUCUGGUAAUAUGAGUGCCCAAAAAACCACACAAACCCCAAGUGCUGGUUUGGUUUUACCCUGAAAUUCCUUGCUGGGAUAUUGGCUUGACCUCAGCAGUUGGACUUGAUGAUCCUAAAGGUCUUUCCCAACCUGAACAAUUCUGUGAUUCCACGAUUCUCUGUAAUACCUGUGAACUGGAGAAUAAACUCUGUUAAAAUUGGGAUGUUCAGCAGCCAGCAAUAUCCCAAAAGCCCUUUUGCUCCUCUCAGGCUCCUUCUGUAUAUUCAAAGAACCCAAUUUGAGCUGUGGAUUUGAUGUAGAAGAUGCUGAUAUACUGCUGGAGGUCCUUCACAUUCCCAUGCCUUGGCUUGCCCACACCUUUCCCCAAAAGCCUCUCUAACCCCCUGGAACACCCCUUGGCACAGGGUAGCCCUGCUGCUGGAUCCCCCUCUGGAAGCUGCUCUAAUAUUAACCCUGAGCAGCUGAUUUUGUCCUUUCUGAAUUUAAUUUAGACUUCCACAGGGCUCUCCCUUGACCUCAGGAGUUCAGGGGAAGCUCUGGAGAUGAGUGGCUGCCUGUUUUCCCAGGUUUAUCUGCAGCCUUUCCCAGAUUUCCAUUAAAAGCACUGAUGCCCUGGUGUGUAAUAUUCUGGAUAAAUCCAGCUGUAUUAAUGUCUUAUCUGAUUUCUCAUGCAACAUUCUUGCUACUCAGAAGAAAAUCAGGGAAUGACCUCCUUCUGAUGUGAGUAUUCCUGCCAUGAGAGGGAAGAGGAGUACGGAUCACACUUAAAAUUUCCCUUUUGGAAUAGCAAUCCAGGUUGAUAGAAUUGAUUUAUUAUUGCUCCCCAAGGCAUAAACUUAUAGUGGGGGUGCUGGACAUAAAUAAAUGCUUUAGGCAGUUUAGCUAGAAGUCUGGAUCCUCACCUUCCCCCUUUUCCCUCCUCUGUCUCCAUUCCUCUCUCCUGCCUGGCACUGUAAUGACUCAGAGGGGUUUGUUUUUAUUUCCACGUGGCUGCCUUGGAGAUCUUUUUCAGCCAACUUCCCUUUGGACUAUCUACAAACAUUAAAAGAUGUUUGAAAUUACUCAACCUCAACAGUGCUUGAAAUUGAGCCACGUUCUGUUGUGUCAACACAGUGAGUGCUUCAAGUGCUGGUUGUGGAGGCACAAUAAAGGUUUCCAGCUCUGGUGCUGCCCACAAAACUCCUUUAUUAAGUGAUGUUUCCCCACCUGGGAGCUUAAAUGUGCUGCUCUGGUUGCUUGUUUGUCCAUCUUGCUUUAUUUUAUUUGCAUUCUGUGAUCAAUGAACAGCUUGAAACAGUCCCUUCAAGAGCUGCUGCAAGAUUUCCAACCCUCUACCAUGAGCAGGGGCACCUUCCACUAUCCCUGGUUGCUCCAAACCCCAUCCAGUCUGGCCUUGGACACUUGCAGGGAUGGGGCAGCCACAGCUUCUCUGGGCAACCUGUGCCAGGGCCUGCCCACCCUCACAGAGAGGGAUUCCUUCCCAAUAUCCCAUCUAACCUUAGCCAGGUUCAAGGCCAGGUUGGAUGGGCCUUGGAGCAGCCUGGGCUAGUGGAAGGUGUCCCAGCCCAUGGAAUGGGGGUUGAAACUGGAUGUGCUUUAAUGUCCCUUCCCACCCAAACCACUCUAAGAUGUGUCUGUAAUCUUGCUGACUGAUAGGCUGGUUCUGUCUGGGUAAUGAGGACAGGUAAAUUUACUAUCUUAAUUUUGAGAGUGAUGCACUUCAGUGUGUACAACACAGUCCCUCAGCUUUUCUUGCCUCAGGACUUCUUUCCUUCACAGCUUUGAUAUUUUUCAGUAAAUAUCUGCUUAGAGCCCACUGUAAUCUGAUGUCUAAAGGCAUCUUUUAAGUAAAAAUGAGGGUUGAGUUUAUUUUUGAGGUCAGGCAGUGGCUGUGUGUUCAGUGAGCUCUGCUGAUGUUGGAUCAGAUGGUGAAAAAAAAUCCUCUCUCUCCUGGUUCCACCUCCCAGCGAAAGCAGCAAAUUUCCCUCUGAGGUCAAAUUAAGGAAACUACUUAAAAGACCUCUGAUUUCACAGUAAAGUCCUGUGGUAGUGUUGGAGCUGUAGAGGGGAGGUGGGUAAAGGCCUGUUUUGUUGCCUUGCAGUUGGGAUGUCUCCUGAGCAGAGCUGUGAGUGCCAGGCUAAUGAGGCCUGGUGUCCCCGGGGGCUCGGGGCUCACGCUCGGCUGCUCCGCACCCAGGAGGGAAUUGCAGAGCUCUGGAAGGUUUUUCUCUCAUUUCCAGGCCUCUCCUCUGUGCAGAUCCCGGGAAAUGGGAGGUUCACACUAUUGCCUUUCCCCAAGGAUGAGAGUAAAGGAGGCCCCACCACCCCCAUUCAGCAUCAGGGUGAACGUUCAUGGCUUCAACAGAUUUUAGGCAUUUAUGUUCCAUGGAAACUCGGGAUCUAGAGAGUUAAAUCAUAAAGGGGUGGCUGAGGGAGCUGGGGGGGCUCAGCCUGGAGAAAAGGAGGCUCAGGAGGAACCUUUGUGCUCUCUGCAACUCCCUGACAGGAGGGGGAGCUGAGUGGGUGUUGGUUUCUUCUAACAAGCAACAAGCGACAGGACAAGAGGAAACAGCCCCAGGCUGUGCCAGGGGAGAUUCAGGUUGGACAUCAGGAGGAAUUUCUUCAUGGAAAGGGUUGUUAAACGUGGGAAGGGACUGCCCAGGGCGGUGGUGGAGUCCCCAUCCCUGGAGGUGUCCAAGGAAGGACUGGCCAUGGCACUCAGUGCUCUGGGCUGGGUGACAAGGUGGGGAUGGGGCACAGGUUGGACUCGAGGAUCCUGGAGGUCUUUUCCAGCUCAGAGGAUUCUGUGAUUCUGUGAAGAAGGGUAGGAAGGAUCUUAUCUGCAGGGAGGACACAAGGUCAUGUUGUCCAUGGGUGUCUCUAAUCAUGGACACUGGGCCUGAGCCCCAAAUUGGGUGUUAGAGGGCAGGGGGAGGAGACACCCUGAAAGGUUCCUGUUCCUCCUAAGGCUUUGUUGAGAGAGGAGAUAGACUGGAAAUCAGAGAGGACACAUGUGGAUGUGGGAGGUGAAUGAAUGGGGUGUCUGAGAAGGAACGACAAAAGUGGGUUUCAAGUGAGAACGUGGGAAGGAAUGGUGCAGACAGGGGAUGGCUUUGCUUUGUGGGCAGGUUGCAAGUCUUAAAACUUAAAUAUUUGAGUUCCUAGGAGGUGUUUGAGGAUAAAAUAGUAGGGGAAGAGAAGAGCAUGGCAGCUCAAGGUUGUUAUAAUAUCCAGUGUCAUUGGCUUGUCCCAGGGAGGUGAUACCUUCUGAAAGGGUUUGGGAACAGUAAAAAAAUUAAUUAAAAUGUUUGUUGAAGAAGAGCAAGGCUCACUCUCCUAAUAAAUAAUUGCAGGGAUUCAGGAGAAACUUCCAAAUGCAGCUUUGAAAAGAAGUAUUCAAGAGAGCAAGUCCCAGACCACUGGAGGUUUGGAUGUUGUCUGCUCCAAAAGAGCUGUUUUCCAGAGGCUGGAUGAAGAUGUGUGUGCAUCCCUGUGUAUUUUGGAAAUCAUGCACAUUUUUGAGCUUAAACCAGAGAGAAGGAGGCGUUAAGGCAGAAUUGGGGUUGUUUUGACGUCACCUGAUCCCAUCAUAGAAGGUGCUGUAGGAGAUCAACGUUGCUGGAAAACUUCCAACAAAAGGGUAAUGAGAAAAAGAAAGGCUCGUGUUGUGUUCUCACUCCUCUGCUUGUCUUCAGACACAGCUGCUGCUUCUCUGCAAAGCUCCUCUUUACUUUUCUGUGGGGUUUCCGUGGUGUAUCCUGUAAUGCCCUAAAAAGUGCUUUGAGAGCAGAGGGGAAUUUUACCAAGCAAAAAAACUGCUGAGAAGUUGUGGAUUUCACAUCCCUGAAAGUGUCCAAGGCCAGGUUGGAAGUGGAAGGUGUCCCUGCCCAUGGCAGGGGGGGUGGAACGAGAUGGGCUGUAAGGUCCCUUCCAACCCAAACCAUUUAUGUGAUUUGAGUUGUCAUUAAAUGACUGAGAAUGAAAUAAAGUUUUGUCUAGGCAGAGAAUUGGCAAAUGCACCAAAUCUGCCUGUAAAUUCUCCCCAGUGGAGGCCACAAGGCAGGCACGUGCUGGGGCUGGUAUUUCGCAUCGGAGCUUUCCCGAGUGCUCCUUGAGCUGCAAUUUAAAGGAACCAAAAAAAAAAAAAAAGAAAAAAAAAAAAAAAAAAAAAGGCUUCACAGAUUGGUCUAUUACCAGAGAGUAUUUGCUGUGUUUUGGCAGAGGGUUUAUUUAGGGGGUGUGUGUGAAGCUUUUGAGAGAUGUCUCUCCACAUUUUGAAGUGCCAGACUCGUGCCUCUAACGCUGCCUGCUCCGAGUCGCAGCCAAAUCCGGGCUCGUUCCAGCUUGAGUGUGUGUUUUAGCAGAGUGUUACUCCACACAAGAGUAAUCUUUUAAAGCUGAGUAAUCUUACAGUUCUGGAGGACAGCAAUAUAUCACAUUACUGAGCUUGCAAUUCAGGAUUUUAAAGAAAGGAGUUAAUUUAGAAGAGCUGCACUGAGUGCACAUACAUAUAUGGGGAUAUGUACCAUAUAUUUUUCUCAUCCCUGGACUGCUCUUGCAUGAAAUCCUUCAUUCUGCUCUCCUCUGAGCUGUUCCUUUCUUACUCACUGGCAGGAGUUGCUCUCUUCUAACCAGAAGUGCUUAUCCAUAUUUUAAGUACAUGUCUUUUUAAAUGUGUCCAUUUAAAUUAAUAUUUAACAGAGCAGAGCCAUGUCUGUGGUGUAAUGUGUCCACUUAUGGCUGAUCGUUAUUUGAGGUGAUUGAGCCUCCUUGUACUUAAUUUUUUUUGCUUUUUAUCCAGCAGGAUCAUUUUUAGAUGAGCUGAUUUACACCUCAAAGCAGACUAUUUCUCCUGGAGUCCUGGGUUUCUCAGUUAGCAGCAUCCUUUCAGCAGCACAAAUGGUGCACUGAGCGUGGAAGGAUGUCUCAUCCCAAGCUGAAUAUCCCAAUUCCUGUCCCAGUACAAAGUGGAGUUGCCAAUCUGUUGUUACCCACUUGCACAACAUUUUUUAAAGCCUUUGGAAUGGUUAAUUUACCCUGCUGGGAUUUUUUUAUUCCAGCUGACUUCAUUUACCUGUCUCUUCGCUGCAGAGGUGCUCAGGCAUUGGAACAGGCUGGAGCCACCAUCCCUGGAAGUGUUCCAGAGAUGUGGCACUGGGUUUAGGGGUGGUCUUGGCAGUGCUGGGACAGUUGGACUUGAUGAUCUCAAGAGGUUUUUUUUCCAACAUUAAGGAUUCAGUGAUUCUAAGGGAGGUGUCCGGUCAGAGCUACUUGUCUUGGCUCCCUCUCAGUUGACAACACUCAAUGUGUCCUCUCCUAGAAAUCCUUCUUUUAAUUCCAGCUUUGACUGGAUACCCACCUCAGACAGCAGACUUUUGGUGGGAUGAGCUCCCCCACCCCAUCAGGGGUCCUUGAACAUCCUCUGGUGCCUCUGGCAUUUUAUUCCCUGGGUGAUAAGCUACAGUAUCCCACUGAGAGCUGCAAAACUUCCUGCUGCACAGGAUGGCCUUGGCCAUGGAGUAGGGAAGCUUACUGAUUCCAUAGAAUCCCAGAAUGUUUUAGGUUGGAAAGGAGCUUAAAACUCAUCUAGUUCCAGUCCCCUGCUGUGGGCAGGGACACCUUCCAUUAGACCAGGUUGCUCAAAUGCAACACCUCGUCCUGGAUGUGAACCCUCUGACCAGUAGUUCUAGAAUUUUUUAUUUUGUCAAGCAAGUACUGUAUUCCUUCAGUUCUGCUGAAUUUUCUCCACUAAUAAAUAGGAAUGUGAGAGGACACCACAUGGAAAAGUACACCUGUUGUACUUAGAAGCAGGUUUUGGUCAAGUAAUUCAGUUCCUGUUGGUCUAAAGCAUUAUUUCAAUUUUUAUUUCGCCAUUUAAGCUUUAAUUGAUAGAAAAUGGUUUAGUUAAUAUUUGAGUAUUACUAUUUAUUUAAUUUUUUUCUUUUCUUCUUUUUUUUUUUUAGGUCUGAAAGGUUUUUAUGGGUGGUGAGAUGUUCCAGUGCUUGGAUCAAUGUGUUUCAUUAAAUGUUGGGAAGGAGAGGAUUCAUUUUUUGUUGCUGUUUGCUUGGGUUAUUUUAAGUUGCUGUAAUUGUAAGUCAGCAGAGCUGACCCAGGUGAGAGGAUCAUGUAAAGGUUUGUAUUGGAAGAGACUUUAAAGCUCAUCUCAUUCCACCCCCUGCCAUGGGCAGGGUCAUCUUCCAUUAUCCCAGGUUGCUCCAAGCCCCAUCCAACCUGGCCUUGGACACUUCCAGGGAUCCAGGGGCAGCCACAGCUGCUCUGGACAACCUGUGCCAGGGCCUCCCCACCCUCUCAGGAAAGGUUUUCUUCCCAAUAUCCAACCACACACAAAUAAAUGUGCACAGAGCAAAUAAAACCAUCCCAGGCAGGAAAAGAUCCAGAGGAGCUGCCACAGAAAACAGCAGAGGGAAGUGGGAGGGUUUGGCCAACGAGUUGUUCAAGCUCAGUUGAUCUCAGGAGUGGGAUGGAAACUGUGAUAUCCUCAUGGACCAGAUGAGGCUUCUUUUAGCAGAGAAGCUUCCACGAAAGAAACUGGGACUUUUGACAAGGGCACGCAGUGAUAGCACAAGGGAAAUGGCUUUAAACUGAAGGAGGGGAGAUUUAGAUGAGAUUUUAAGAAGAAAACCUUCCCUGGGAGGGUGAGGAGGCCCUGGCACAGGUUGCCCAGAGAAGCUGUGGCUGCCCCAUCACUGAAAGUGUCCAAAGCCAGGUUGGAGCAACCUGGGCUAGUGGGAGGUGUCCCUGCCCAUGGCAGGGGGCAUUGGAACUGAAUGAUCUUUUGGGUCCCUUCCAACCCAAACCAUCCUGUGAAUCCAGUGAUUCCGUAAGAGCUUGUCAGAAGUAACUCGGCUCUCCAGGAUGUUUAACGUGCUUUGUUCUCACUGAGCCCCUGCUGAACCCUCUAAAAGAGCGGGGCUUUAACUCCCAGCCUGGUGCGUCUCCCGAGUUCAGACAUCUCUGCAGAAGAUUAAGCAAGUUAGAGAAAUUAGCUUUGAUCCCUUUCUGCCAGCAUAGGAUUAUUCCACAUCACGCUGGGUUUGAAGUUCAUGUCUAAUCCAGUUUUACACGUCUCGGGGGACUCGGCUUCUUACGGCUCCGUCUGCGCCGCGGCCUCGUGGUGCAGCCUCUGAUUUAGUGCUGCUCACUUGAUACUGAGAUUCAAUUUGCAUUUCCAUUACUGCCUCCCAUUUCAUCCCCGUGCCACGUACAUAAUGUCCCUGCUUUGUGGGAUGUGGCUUCCAAAGGCAUAUGGAUCGUUAUCCCCGUGCUAUCUCAGAUUCUCACUACACGCUCAGUCAAGAUAUAUAUAUAUAGAUAGAUAGAUAUUUAAACCAUCCUCUUGCAAACAACUCUGGGUGUUUUGUGUGUAGGUUUUCAAGCUGUAGGACAUAUUUACCUACAAGAAAGGUUUGUAGUGUCCACCUUGGACGGAAACAACUGGUGUGAAACAGGAUUACAAGAGCCACGUGUGCGGAACUGAUGCUGAGCAAGGCAAAGAGGAGGCUCCUGUUAACUAUUUUCCAGAGGUUUAAUCAUCAAUCCUGAGGGUUUUUUUUUAAAAUGCACUACGUUUUAUUUAUGAUGUUUGUAAACCCAUAAGUUUUCUUUUUAAUAAAUGUGUAUUUUCAAGGCUGAAAAAAA